GACGAACGCUGGCGGCGUGCUUAACACAUGCAAGUCGAACGGAAAGGCCCUGCUUUUGUGGGGUGCUCGAGUGGCGAACGGGUGAGUAACACGUGAGUAACCUGCCCUUGACUUUGGGAUAACUUCAGGAAACUGGGGCUAAUACCGGAUAGGAGCUCCUGCUGCAUGGUGGGGGUUGGAAAGUUUCGGCGGUUGGGGAUGGACUCGCGGCUUAUCAGCUUGUUGGUGGGGUAGUGGCUUACCAAGGCUUUGACGGGUAGCCGGCCUGAGAGGGUGACCGGCCACAUUGGGACUGAGAUACGGCCCAGACUCCUACGGGAGGCAGCAGCGGGGAAUAUUGCACAAUGGGCGGAAGCCUGAUGCAGCAACGCCGCGUGCGGGAUGACGGCCUUCGGGUUGUAAACCGCUUUCGCCUGUGACGAAGCGUGAGUGACGGUAAUGGGUAAAGAAGCACCGGCUAACUACGUGCCAGCAGCCGCGGUGAUACGUAGGGUGCGAGCGUUGUCCGGAUUUAUUGGGCGUAAAGGGCUCGUAGGUGGUUGAUCGCGUCGGAAGUGUAAUCUUGGGGCUUAACCCUGAGCGUGCUUUCGAUACGGGUUGACUUGAGGAAGGUAGGGGAGAAUGGAAUUCCUGGUGGAGCGGUGGAAUGCGCAGAUAUCAGGAGGAACACCAGUGGCGAAGGCGGUUCUCUGGGCCUUUCCUGACGCUGAGGAGCGAAAGCGUGGGGAGCGAACAGGCUUAGAUACCCUGGUAGUCCACGCUGUAAACGGUGGGUACUAGGUGUGGGGUCCAUUCCACGGGUUCCGUGCCGUAGCUAACGCUUUAAGUACCCCGCCUGGGGAGUACGGCCGCAAGGCUAAAACUCAAAGGAAUUGACGGGGCCCCGCACAAGCGGCGGAGCAUGCGGAUUAAUUCGAUGCAACGCGUAGAACCUUACCUGGGUUUGACAUGGAUCGGGAGUGCUCAGAGAUGGGUGUGCCUCUUUUGGGGUCGGUUCACAGGUGGUGCAUGGCUGUCGUCAGCUCGUGUCGUGAGAUGUUGGGUUAAGUCCCGCAACGAGCGCAACCCUUGUUCACUGUUGCCAGCACGUUAUGGUGGGGACUCAGUGGAGACCGCCGGGGUCAACUCGGAGGAAGGUGGGGAUGACGUCAAGUCAUCAUGCCCCUUAUGUCCAGGGCUUCACGCAUGCUACAAUGGCUGGUACAGAGAGUGGCGAGCCUGUGAGGGUGAGCGAAUCUCGGAAAGCCGGUCUCAGUUCGGAUUGGGGUCUGCAACUCGACCUCAUGAAGUCGGAGUCGCUAGUAAUCGCAGAUCAGCAACGCUGCGGUGAAAACGUUCCCGGG
rnacentral:rRNA from 1 species